AUUGAACGCUGGCGGCAGGCUUAACACAUGCCAGUCGAGCGGUAGCACAAGAGAGCUUGCUCUCUGGGUGACGAGCGGCGGACGGGUGAGUAAUGUCUGGGAAACUGCCUGAUGGAGGGGGAUAACUACUGGAAGCGGUAGCUAAUACCGCAUAACGUCGCAAGACCAAAGAGGGGGACCUUCGGGCCUCUUGCCAUCAGAUGUGCCCAGAUGGGAUUAGCUAGUAGGUGGGGUAAUGGCUCACCUAGGCGACGAUCCCUAGCUGGUCUGAGAGGAUGACCAGCCACACUGGAACUGAGACACGGUCCAGACUCCUACGGGAGGCAGCAGUGGGGAAUAUUGCACAAUGGGCGCAAGCCUGAUGCAGCCAUGCCGCGUGUGUGAAGAAGGCCUUCGGGUUGUAAAGCACUUUCAGCGAGGAGGAAGGUGGUGAACUUAAUACGUUCAUCAAUUGACGUUACUCGCAGAAGAAGCACCGGCUAACUCCGUG
rnacentral:rRNA from 1 species